rnacentral:rRNA from 1 species
UACGGAGGGUGCAAGCGUUGUCCGGAUUUAUUGGGUUUAAAGGGUGCGUAGGCGGUUCUUUAAGUCCGGGGUGAAAGCCCACUGCUCAACAGUGGAACUGCCCUGGAAACUGGAGAACUUGAGUGCAGACGAGGGCGGCGGAAUGGAUGGUGUAGCGGUGAAAUGCAUAGAUACCAUCCAGAACCCCGAUUGCGAAGGCAGCUGCCUAGACUGUAACUGACGCUGAGGCACGAAAGCGUGGGGAGCGAACAGG